AAUGAACGCUGGCGGCGUGCUUAACACAUGCAAGUCGUGCGCGAAGGUGGCUUCGGCUGCCGGAGAGCGGCGAACGGGUGAGUAACACGUGGGUGAUCUGCCUGGGGGCGGGGGAUAACCUGGGGAAACUCGGGCUAAUACCGCAUACGUUGGCGGGUUUACGGACUCGUCAAGAAAGCUGGCCUCUGCUUGCAAGCUAGCGCUCCCAGAGGAGCCCGCGGCUGAUUAGCUAGUUGGUGAGGUAAUGGCUCACCAAGGCGACGAUCAGUAGCCGGCCUGAGAGGGUGAUCGGCCACACUGGGACUGAGACACGGCCCAGACUCCUACGGGAGGCAGCAGUGGGGAAUAUUGGACAAUGGG
rnacentral:rRNA from 1 species